ensembl:lncRNA
GUUGAUAAGAUGAUGCUUAUAUCAAAAAAUGCUUUUUUUAAAAUAAUAGAAUCUACAAUAAAUGAAAAAUUAAAUAAUGGUGAUUUUAAUUUUUAUAAAAUUUUAUUACAUAUGUUUAUGUAUAAAGAAAUAUAUUUUAUUAAUAAAGAAGAAAAUGUUUGUUUAAAAAAAAAUGGUUUAUGUAAACAUGUUGAUUUAUGUUUUCAGUCUAACGUGAAUACACUUCUUAAUAAAAUAAGUUACCGUAUAACAAACAGCUUACAUGAUGAAAAUAUAUAUCCAUUUAGUAAUGGUAAUCUUGAACAUACAAAUACCAUUGAUGGCCUGCUUAUUGAUAGUAACUACAAACACACAUAUAACAAUAAAAACAUUUUAUUAAAACAAGAUUAUGAAAUAAUAGAAAACGCUAACUUAAUAAACAAUGUUAUUCAUAAAAGUAUAAUACAAGUUUCACAGAAUGGCAGAUCCGACCCCCCAAACAUUUCACAACUAUCAAAUAAAAUUCCCAAAAAAAUAAAUAAACCAUCAAUUUAUAAUAAAGAUAAAUAUUAUGAUAAGAUAUAUAAAAAACAAAAAAAAAAAUACAAAGAUCCAAACAAUAUAUUAAAACUAUUUUUAAAAAACGAUAGUAAUUCAUCACAUUUUAAUAAACUUAAUGAAUUAAAAGAAUGUACUUUUCAGCCAAACGUUCAUAAAUAUGCUCUUAAAGAAUUGUCUAAUUAUGAUGUUGAUAAAAAUGAUCAAAAUGUUAAGAACAAAACGGAGGAAGAAACAAACAAACUAAAUAUCGAAAAAAUAUAUACAAAUGCUAAUAAUGUAAUAGCUAAUAAAAUGUAUACAUACAUGUUAAAAAACUCUUCGACUUUAAAUGGAAAUAAAAUAGAUGCUCAAAAUGUAACUGAAUAUUUCAAGUUUUGCAUUCAGUAUUAUGGUGCAUAUAAAGGCCAAGGCUACUUCGAAGCAGAUACAAAAAAAAGUAUACUAAAAUACAAUGAUAAUUUUCAAGAUCCUAAAUACAGUAGCAUAAAAAAUGCCAACCGUAUCAAUUCUAAGCUCCAUAAACACAAAAAAAAUGUAUACAUAAAAGAAAAUAAGAAGCAAAAUCCAAAUAAUACAAAUAGUACAAAUGCAGUAAACAUAAAUAAGAACUUGUGGGCUAAUAGCUUAAGAGAAGGAUAUUCACCUAAACCUUUUGACUUUUCAAUGGUAAAUAAAACUGAAAGGAAUUACGAAUUAAAAGCUAAAAAAAAAGUAAAAGAUGAGUAUGACUGGUCGAAAGAAAUACGACUAAGUGGAAGAAGAUUAACAGCUAAAGUUGUACCUAAUUAUGAUUUGUCAAAUCAGUGCAUAAGCGGUUUAAACGAUGAUAAUAAACAUAAUAAUAACCAAUUCUCAACUUGUAAUAAAAAAGAAAUAAAAAAACAAAAAAGCACACAAAAUAAUACUUGUUUAUAUAACGAUUACUUCUACGCAGCUAGUACGCAACCUCCACCUAAAAUUAUGGCAAGUAAAAAUAAUCAUACAAUUUUAGAGGAAAUUGAAAAAGAACUUUUGGCUUUGCCCAAAUCAAUAAAAUUUACCCCCAUGUACUAAAAAUGCAAAUUACAUAAAAACUUAAUAAUUUG